CUAGGGUUUCAAAAGUCUUCUUUUUGAAACAUAUUGUUAUAAGGUAUUGAAUCUUGAGAUCACAAACAAUACUUCAACAACCGUUCAGAACAGCCGCCUCAAACACAGAGAUUGGAGAAAUUUCACCAGUGAGUCAGAACUUAAUCGCCGGAGAGAUUGCCAGAAAACGGGCUGUUUACCGGCGAAAAUAGAGCGGUUUUCCGGUGGUAAUAGAGAGAGAAAAAGAAACAGAUGUAGGACAGUGGAUCUCCAAAAAACUGUCAUCUCCAGCGACGGUUAAACAGCCGGAGAUCGGAGGAACCGCGUCGUCUCUGCCAGUGAAUGUGACGGACUGGUUGAAGAUGAUAGCAGCGCCGGUUAACCGGAUGUGAUGAACAUGUGACGAACUGAUCAAUUUCUGAAGCGCAAUACAAGUGCGGAUGAAUCGGAUAACGUGGUUAGCGGCGUGAAACAACUACCAAUUUUUCUUCUUCUUCUUUUUGUGAAUGAUGAAAAGAGAGGAUUGAAAUCUACAAUGAAUAGAGCAAAUCGUGCUGAUAACAUGAUAUAAAACCACUGGGAAAUCUGUAUUGAAUCUUCCAUCUAUUAUUCCAUAUGAUACAAAAGUGACACAUCUAAAUAACAACAUACAAUAGUAUAUAUAACGUACGUAUGUUAACUGUCAAAACAGUUAUGAGAGGUUAAUUGCCAAGGCAGUUACAAGGGGUGUUUUGUAU
rnacentral:lncRNA from 1 species